GAAAAUAUAAGAAAAGAAGCGAUUCCAAUUUGCGUUCCCCACCCUCCCACUAGUACUCGUCCGCCGCCUCUUUCUCGGGUCUUCUUCCCCUCUAGAUCGACUGACGAUAGCCGUUCGCCGAGCGGUGAAAGCCAUGGAGUCGCACAUGGGGCUCCCCAAGGAUCGAUCGCAGUUCGUUGGCCAGGCUGUGAAAGCCGUGGAAUCAAGGUUGGGCCCCUCAGCCUCAAGUCGAUCGCGCCUUCUUCCUCGCCGGCCGAAAGCCGCUUCGCCCGAGGCGCGCUCGUUUCCUAAAUGGGUGAUGUUCGACACUGAAAUCUACGUCGAGGAUCCCCAGUCCUUCUGCGAGGACGACCCGGAGACACCGUCAGCUAGAUCCCGUGACUCCAACGGCGACGACGUUCUCGUAUCCUUGCGCCUCGUCGCGCCACCAGGGGCGUCUCAUCUCCGCCUUCAUUACUCGAGGGAAGAGGAAGCCAAGAUGUUGAACGGGACCGCGCUCGUGGCGGCUCACCUCGACUCUGUCCUCUUCCGCGUCGUGCCCCCCUCCAGCCCCAUCAACCCAUUCAACUCCUGGUGCUGCUACACGGACUACUUUGUCUGCAAGGCAGGUCCCUCUGGUAUGUCGAUCUAUGGCCCUCUCCCGCCGUGCUACAAAGACGCGCAGCGGAUGGCAGCGCAGGGCCAUGCUCAGCGUUCGCACAUGCUGGAUGUAAGAGACAUAGGUCUCCUGCGCCGUGGCGAGGAUUUCGCUGUCGCAGACCUCAAGGUGCUCAUGCCUAGAGACAGUAGUUCUGAGCCGAAGGAAGCCGAGCUCUUCAGGUAUCGUUCCAAUGCCCUAACCCCGCAGUGGGAGGUCAAGCGAAUCCUGAUCUGUCAAAGUGACGAUAAGGACCAUGGGCUGCGUUGGUGGACAACUGACAAGGUCGUCUCCUUUGAAGGCAACCUGUGCUGGAUUGACUACCACAGGGGCAUCUUGUUUUGUGACGUCUUUGAUGAUGAUCCCCAGCUACAGUAUGCUGAAUUGCCUGUGGAGCCUCCCAAAGGCGAUCCCACUCACCCUGAGUUUGGCAGGGCUCACCCAUAUGUGACACGGAGCUUAUGUGUCAUAGAGGGUGGCACCUUGAUGUUCGUCAAUGUCACACGUGCUGAUGGAGAGAUUGCAAGCAAACGCAAACUUGGUUCUGGUUUCACCAUUACCUGCUGGUCUUUAGGGACGCCGUUGAGCUCCAAAAGUAUAGGCUGGGUGAAGGAAGGUGCCAUGGAAGCAGGAGAAAUCUGGAGUCAGUAUCCAAUUUUUGAUCCUCAUAUUCCCUGCCUUUCUCCGGAGUUCCCAUUUGUAAGCCUGAAUGAACACAGCAUCAUUUACGCAUUAUUGUGUGAGAGGGAAUAUGCUGCUGGACGAACAUGGGUGCUUGUGAUUGACAUUAAAAGAAAGAAACUGGAAUUGGUCAUUCCCUAUAAUGAUGUGAAUUCCUCUUGUGAAGAUACUCUGGUGUUGGAGGACAUCCUCAUUAAUUGGCCCCUUCUGCCUAGUAUGUUCUCCAUGUACUUGAAUUCACAUGCUUCCUGGUAAGUGUUAACUAUGUCAUAUUUAUAUAUUAUAUGCAUUACUGCAUACUCAACUUGUGAUCAGGCCCACUUGAGACAUCAAUGGUGUUUUCCAACUCCCGCAUGCUAUGGAAGACUCAUGUGCUGAAUAUGGCGCAUCUGGCGUAUAAUGCAUCUUCUCGCCAUCAACUAUGAUGCUCAGGGCGGUCUAGGAUUGGAAUGAAGGCCUGGAAAUAUUUCUAUUUUCGCAACUAUGUUUCAGUUAACAGGUUGAACGACUAAGAGUGGAACUACCGUUUGAUGCUCACUGGUGAUACGGGAUACAGGGGUCAAUAAAGGAUUUAAAAUAUUCCCUUUCUUUUAAAUAGUGCAAUUUGGUUAAUGGAUUGGACAGCUGACAUUCGAUUGCCCGCUGCCUAGUUUGUUGGACAUGGGCUUUAAUAGCCCCAUCAUGAGUAUGAUGGUGACUUGGACUUUAGUCAAA